AUUGAACGCUGGCGGCAGGCCUAACACAUGCAAGUCGAACGGUAACAGGAAGCAGCUUGCUGCUUUGCUGACGAGUGGCGGACGGGUGAGUAAUGUCUGGGAAACUGCCCGAUGGAGGGGGAUAACUACUGGAAACGGUAGCUAAUACCGCAUAACGUCGCAAGACCAAAGAGGGGGACCUUAGGGCCUCUUGCCAUCGGAUGUGCCCAGAUGGGAUUAGCUAGUAGGUGGGGUAACGGCUCACCUAGGCGCCGAUCCCUAGCUGGUCUGAGAGGAUGACCAGCCACACUGGAACUGAGACACGGUCCAGACUCCUACGGGAGGAAGAAGUGGGGAAUAUUGCACAAUGGGCGCAAGCCUGAUGCAGCCAUGCCGCGUGUAUGAAGAAGGCCUUCGGGUUGUAAAGUACUUUCAGCGGGGAGGAAGGGAGUAAAGUUAAUACCUUUGCUCAUUGACGUUACCCGCAGAAGAAGCACCGGCUAACUCCGUG
rnacentral:rRNA from 1 species